CAGUCGCCGCGGUAAUACGGAGGGUGCAAGCGUUAAUCGGAAUUACUGGGCGUAAAGCGCACGCAGGCGGUCUGUCAAGUCAGAUGUGAAAUCCCCGGGCUUAACCUGGGAACUGCAUUUGAAACUGGCAGGCUAGAGUCUUGUAGAGGGGGGUAGAAUUCCAGGUGUAGCGGUGAAAUGCGUAGAGAUCUGGAGGAGUACCGGUGGCGAAGGCGGCCCCCUGGACAAAGACUGACGCUCAGGUGCGAAAGCGUGGGGAGCAAACAGGAUUAGAUACCCCGGUAGUCCCUGUCUCUUAUAA
rnacentral:rRNA from 1 species